rnacentral:rRNA from 1 species
AGAGUUUGAUUCUGGCUCAGGACGAACGCUGGCGGCGUGCCUAACACAUGCAAGUCGAACGUGAUCUUCGGAGUAGUUUACUACACUGGAGUGAAAGUGGCGGACGGGUGAGUAACGCGUGGGUAACCUGGCCUAUGGAAGGGGAUAGCCUCGGGAAACCGGGAUUAAUACCGUAUGUAGUUGAGAUAUCGCAUGAUAUUUCAAUGAAAGAUUUAUCGCCAUAGGAUGGACCCGCGUCCCAUUAGCUAGUUGGUGAGAUAACAGCUCACCAAGGCGACGAUGGGUAGCCGGCCUGAGAGGGCGGACGGCCACACUGGGACUGAGACACGGCCCAGACUCCUACGGGAGGCAGCAGUGGGGAAUAUUGCGCAAUGGGGGCAACCCUGACGCAGCAACGCCGCGUGAAUGAAGAAGGUCUUCGGAUCGUAAAGUUCUGUCGAAGGGGAAGAAAUAAAUGACGGUACCCUUAGAGGAAGCCCCGGCUAACUACGUGCCAGCAGCCGCGGUAAUACGUAGGGGGCAAGCGUUGUCCGGAUUUACUGGGCGUAAAGGGCGUGUAGGCGGUUUUUUAAGUCAGAUGUGAAAGUUCGGGGCUCAACCCCGGAAUUGCAUUUGAAACUGGAGAACUUGAGUACUGGAGAGGUAAGUGGAAUUCCUAGUGUAGCGGUGAAAUGCGUAGAUAUUAGGAGGAACACCAGUGGCGAAGGCGACUUACUGGACAGAUACUGACGCUGAGGCGCGAAAGCGUGGGGAGCGAACAGGAUUAGAUACCCUGGUAGUC